rnacentral:rRNA from 1 species
GAUGAACGCUAGCUACAGUCUUAACACAUGCAAGUCGAGGGGCAGCAUGGUCUUAGCUUGCUAAGACUGAUGGCGACCGGCGCACGGGUGAGUAACACGUAUCCAACCUGCCGUCUACUCUUGGACAGCCUUCUGAAAGGAAGAUUAAUACAAGAUGGCAUCAUGAGUCCGCAUGUUCACAUGAUUAAAGGUAUUCCGGUAGACGAUGGGGAUGCGUUCCAUUAGAUAGUAGGCGGGGUAACGGCCCACCUAGUCUUCGAUGGAUAGGGGUUCUGAGAGGAAGGUCCCCCACAUUGGAACUGAGACACGGUCCAAACUCCUACGGGAGGCAGCAGUGAGGAAUAUUGGUCAAUGGGCGAGAGCCUGAACCAGCCAAGUAGCGUGAAGGAUGACUGCCCUAUGGGUUGUAAACUUCUUUUAUAAAGGAAUAAAGUCGGGUAUGGAUACCCGUUUGCAUGUACUUUAUGAAUAAGGAUCGGCUAACUCCGUGCCAGCAGCCGCGGUAAUACGGAGGAUCCGAGCGUUAUCCGGAUUUAUUGGGUUUAAAGGGAGCGUAGAUGGAUGUUUAAGUCAGUUGUGAAAGUUUGCGGCUCAACCGUAAAAUUGCAGUUGAUACUGGAUAUCUUGAGUGCAGUUGAGGCAGGCGGAAUUCGUGGUGUAGCGGUGAAAUGCUUAGAUAUCACGAAGAACUCCGAUUGCGAAGGCAGCCUGCUAAGCUGCAACUGACAUUGAGGCUCGAAAGUGUGGGUAUCAGACAGGAUUACAUACCCUGGUAGUC